rnacentral:miRNA from 1 species
AAGCAGCAAGGACAGUGUUUGG